rnacentral:rRNA from 1 species
GACGAACGCUGGCGGCGUGCUUAACACAUGCAAGUCGAACGGAAAGGCCUGUCCUUCCUUGUGUUGGACGGGUACUCGAGUGGCGAACGGGUGAGUAACACGUGAGUGAUCUGCCCCCAACUUGGGUAUAAGCCUGGGAAACUGGGUCUAAUUCCCGAUAGGACUGCAGGGUGGUGCCUGUGGUGGAAAACGAUUUUCUAGUGGUUGGGGAUGAGCUCGCGGCCUAUCAGCUUGUUGGUGGGGUAAUGGCCUACCAAGGCGGCGACGGGUAGCCGGACUGAGAGGGUGGACGGCCACAUUGGGACUGAGAUACGGCCCAGACUCCUACGGGAGGCAGCAGUGGGGAAUAUUACACAAUGGGCGGAAGCCUGAUGCAGCGACGCCGCGUGGGGGAUGACGGCCUUCGGGUUGUAAACUCCUUUCGACCGCGAGGAAGCCGCCUGGUUGGAAGGGUGGUGACGGUAGUGGUAGAAGAAGCACUGGCUAACUACGUG